GGUCAGUGUGGUGUAGUGGUUUGAGUGUUAGACUCUGACUCCGCAGACCAGGGUUUGAUUUCCUGAUUGACCA